GGAUUGUCACUAAGGCGGGAACCCAAGUGUUCCUUUCAUUGGCAGGCGCUGAGGCCGGGGAAGCGACUUACUCCAAAGAGUCAACCUACCGAGUUUGCGCGCGGUGAGCGUCUCGCGGAGGAGGCAGCUGGGUGUCUGAGCCGAGUAGCCUGGCAGGCGCGGUGGCUCAGCUGUCCCUGAGCAUCUCACACCAUGGCAGUUCCUGAAACCCGUCCCAACCACACUAUUUAUAUCAACAAUCUCAAUGAGAAGAUCAAGAAGGAUGAGCUCAAGAAGUCCCUGUAUGCCAUCUUCUCCCAGUUUGGCCAGAUCCUGGAUAUCCUGGUGUCUCGGAGCCUGAAGAUGAGGGGCCAGGCCUUUGUCAUCUUCAAGGAGGUCAGCAGCGCCACUAAUGCCCUGCGUUCCAUGCAAGGUUUCCCCUUCUACGACAAGCCCAUGCGCAUCCAGUACGCCAAGACUGACUCAGACAUCAUUGCCAAGAUGAAGGGUACCUUUGUGGAGAGAGACCGCAAACGAGAGAAGAGGAAGCCCAAGAGUCAGGAGACACCAGCUGCCAAAAAGGCUGUUCAGGGUGGGGCUGCUGCCCCCGUGGUGGGCGCUGUCCAGCCUGUUCCGGGUAUGCCACCGAUGACUCAGGCACCCCGCAUUAUGCACCACAUGCCAGGCCAGCCUCCUUACAUGCCACCACCUGGCAUGAUCCCGCCACCGGGCCUUGCUCCUGGCCAGAUCCCCCCUGGGGCCAUGCCCCCACAGCAGCUCAUGCCUGGACAGAUGCCGCCUGCCCAGCCUCUCUCCGAGAAUCCACCCAAUCACAUUCUGUUCCUCACCAACCUGCCUGAGGAGACCAACGAGCUCAUGCUGUCCAUGCUUUUCAAUCAGUUCCCUGGCUUCAAGGAGGUGCGUCUGGUUCCCGGGCGGCACGACAUCGCCUUUGUGGAGUUUGACAAUGAAGUGCAGGCUGGGGCAGCACGAGAUGCCCUGCAAGGCUUUAAGAUCACGCAGAACAAUGCCAUGAAGAUCUCGUUUGCCAAGAAGUAGCGCCUUCCCCCAUGGGGCAUCUCAGUCCCCAUUCCGGGGCUGCCCUUUCCCUCCCCCUUGGCUCAGUCCCUGAAGAGUUGGGAUCUCGUGGCCUCUGUGAGUUCACAAACUUGGAAAACACACAGGAGUAUAACAGUAUUAACCACACUUAAGGUACAUUGACAGCUUUGGCAAGGUAUUUUUUUGUUGUUUGUUUGUUUGUUUGUUUUGUCUCAAAUCAUUGAGGUCAGAAACAAGACCCCCAUGUACAUUUGGGCAAGUUGUACACGACACAAGGAUACUCCUGCUUUGGAAGGGCACAUUAAAAGCCUGCUUCUUACUUCUGCUCCUGCUUUUGCACUCUAUUAAAGAGGAAAAGCUCAGUGAAGACUGUCCCCAUGGCAUUUGAAGGAGGACAAAGCUGGUCCUUGCAUCACUUAGGGACUCCCAUGUUACUGCAGAAGGUCGAGUGGAAACAUCUCUCCCUCCACAUUGGCCUAGUGGCUGUGACAUGUGGGUUCAGCCUAUCUAGUUUGCAGUUUGGGACUUCCCUAGCUGUCACUCAGUGGGCAGUUAGUGUCCCCACUGUGAGCUUUGUUUUCUUCCUUUGUGAAAAGGACUCCUGUUACUGCCAUCAUCAAUAGUGAUCCUAUUUGUUCCUACAAACACCACCAGGCUCUUAGCCAGCAAUCAGAAGACUCAGCUGAAUAAAACUUGGAAGUGAAAAUCAAAGCUGCUAGACAGCCUGUGGUCCUAGUACCCAGAAGGCUGAGAUGGGGGAUUGCCCUGAGUUCCCUGGCAGCCUGAGCUGCUGUGGUGGGGGCUGUAGAACAGUUAGGAUGAUGGGGGAAAGCUCCUCUGAGGAGGCAUGUUAGGGUGGAGCUGUUAGUGGUGCUGGGUAUGUAGAGGUGUUCAGUUCCAUCUCUGCCCCUGAUAAACUCCCUGACUCUAAGCCAGAGUGUGAUUAUUCUCUGCCUGCCAUGAGGUUGUGCCUGGCCAGCUCAGAGGUCAAGGUACACUGAGUCACUUGCUCUGAUCUUGACCAGUGACUGAACUCUGGAGCCAAGGCAGAAAAUGGAAAUCAAAGCACAGCAGUGUCGAGUUGCCAGUAAGGCCCGAAGCUGAGGUGGUCCUUAGACCAAGCACCCGGAGCCAUUGGAGUAGUGGUCUGCAUUUCUGGAGGCAGUGCAGAGAUCCUGAGGUGGCAAGGGGGGGUUCCACCUCACUGGCAAGUGCAGUGUGCUCCUGAGUGUGGUGAGAUAGAGGGAGAGGAGUACAGGGUGUGCAGUGAAGCAGCUGUGGUCACAUGGGUUUUGUUUGAAGUUUGUGUGUGGUUAGGUUAGUCUCGGUCCUCUGACAUGACUGUGGGGUCUGUACUUUGUAAAUCUGCUUGUGUGUUUGAACUGGUGACCUGCUUCAGAAGCAAAUCCUCUGCCCUAAGCAGAGCAUAUCUAUCUGAAUCCAUAUUUUAAGAGUCCAACAGGACUUUUCCCCGUCCUUUCAUUUUUUAAGAUGGGGCUGAGGUGGGGUCUCAGGCCACACACCUAACCCCAAUUCACUAUUGUAGCCUGCACCUUCCCAGUGUUUAUAAGUAUCUCCCAUCACAUCUAGCCUCUUCAACUCAACUGAGCAUUGAUCACAUAACAGCUAUAACUUUGAGGUGUGAUGGUAAAACUAGCAACUUUUCUUUUUCACAAUUUCACAGAAUCUGAUAUUUCCAUAGACUUUUUUUUUUUUUUUUUUUUUUUUUUGAGACAGAGUUUCUCUGUGUAGCCCUGGCUGUAUUGGAACUCGCUCUGUAGACCAGGCUGGCCUUGAACUCACAGUGAUCCACCUUCCUCUGCCUCCUGAGUACUGGGAUCAAAGGCGUGCACCACCACCGCCUGGCUUUCCUUUACUAAAUCCUUUUACCUCAUUCCUUGUUGAAAGCAUGAAACUUUUUGGCUAAUGCCCCCCUCUCCCUGGGAAGAGUGGAGAGAUGACUCAGCAGUUAAGAUCACUUUCUGCUCUUUCAAAGGACCCAAGUUUGAUCCCAGCACCAAUAUCACUUCAUAAUCUCCUGUAACUCUAGUCCCAGGGGAUCUGAUGCCCUCUUCUGGCUUCCAUAGGCAACUGCACUCAUGUGCACAUAUACCACCCCUUACAUACACAUAAAUAAAAUUUUAAAUAAAAUGUUUUUUCCUGG